UGCUGCUGGGGAUUAGCGACCGAGGUGGGUUACAUCGAUUUAUUCAGUCGACAUGUAUGAUUUCCUGUUUUUGUAAAUCAUGUGGUAGCUUAAUUUCGUCGAUUGUAUAAUGAAUGAAAUUAGCUUGAGGACAUGAUUAGUAAACCCUAAAUAUACAUGUUGGACUUGGAUAAGACUUAGGAGAAAACUCGCGAUUAUGAUCGUCAUAUAUUUAAACUACCUGAUUUAGCCCUAGGGGCCGUGGUAUUAUUUUAUACUGUAGCAGUAUCCUCAUAGUGAGUAUUCCAGGUAGUUUAGCUUUUAGUUACGCUCGUGCCGGGAUGCCGAGUAUAUUUUUACAGUAGCGUUCAGGCUGUUUCGGACUGUUGGGUGCCGUCAGAAUUGACAGUGGACCCGGAUGGCCUUUUUGGCGACAGAUUGUGCCAAGGGUACGUGAACUGUUAGUUAUUAGACUUGUUAGAGUCGGUUACUUGACUUUGGCUUUUCAGAGCCUGUUUGAGCUCGACAGAGAUACGCUGCAUACUCGGUUGGGUAGCGCCCACGAGUGCCACUCCGGAGUCAGACUUUGUGCUUUCGCGUUGGUGUCGCUCAUGCCAGUUGGACUUGCUCUCCACAGACCAGUUAGUGUGGAGGUAGCUAGACAGUCGUAACGGGGCAGGGACGGGUGUAUUCACAGUCCCAGGGACGGGUAUGCUUACAGUCCCGAUUGGAUUGGGUCAGAUUUGACAUUUCCUACAGUUGGUUAGUGUAGAGUAUGAUAGUGUAGUGAUUGAUAGCGGUAGAGUGUACUUCCUACUUUUCCUACUAUUCUUGCUCCCUUCUGUAGACUUAGUGGGUGACCGAUGUUGUUUUGGGGCGGUACCCACUGAGGACUACUUGUUUUUACAGUAGUUCUCACGCCCAGUUGUUACCUAUGUUUUUGCAGAGCCACAGGUUUCGGCUGCUGCGCCUUCCGC
rnacentral:lncRNA from 1 species